rnacentral:rRNA from 1 species
AACGAACGCUGGCGGCAGGCUUAACACAUGCAAGUCGAACGCAUGCCUUCGGGCAUGAGUGGCAGACGGGUGCGUAACGCGUGGGAACCUACCCCUUGGUACGGGAUAGCUCCGGGAAACUGGAGAUAAUACCGUAUGUGUCCUGAGGGACAAAGAUUCAUCGCCAAGGGAUGGGCCCGCGUCGGAUUAGCUAGUUGGUGGGGUAACGGCCUACCAAGGCGACGAUCCGUAGCUGGUCUAAGAGGAUGAUCAGCCACAUUGGGACUGAGACACGGCCCAAACUCCUACGGGAAGCAGCAGUGGGGAAUAUUGGACAAUGGGCGCAAGCCUGAUCCAGCCAUGCCGCGUGAGUGAUGAAGGCCCUAGGGUUGUAAAGCUCUUUCACCGGUGACGAUAAUGACGGUAACCGGAGAAGAAGCCCCGGCUAACUUCGUG